UUUUUAAAACCAGCUGUCACUUUAUUUUAAAUAAAUCCUUUACAAGGGAGGCUGCCACUUCCACUACAAGGUCUGUUGGUCAGACCAGUACACCCAGGCUGGGCAUUCACCUUUCCGUGUAGUCCACCAGACAGGGGCAAGUGUUGCACACCUCUGAGUAAGAGCCAAGCCUGCACACAACUGGAAGCUGUAUUUGACAGUAAAAGGGGAUUCCCCUACUGAAGCUGAACCACUGUCUACAGGAACUCUGGCUCACUGCUAAACUAGAUCACAUGAAAGCACAAAAGCCAGUUAAAAAAGAGUCGUCCUUGUCUCUGACAGCGAGUUACGUGCUGCAAGAUGCAUUUUUCCUAGUACCUGUCGGUGUUGUUCUCCCUCUUGCUCUUCACUACAUGCGUUUACUGGCACACGCAUCCAAGCAGGGCUGGCAGCAGCAGGAACUGCCCGAGGAUAGCCCCAACCAGCUAAGCAGGGACUUUGCCAGGGCUGGCUGCCCAAAGGCCCCUGGGCUUAGAAGCAGCUACCCUCAAACCCCUUUUGGGUGGGCAAAAAGGAACACACUCCCCAACCCCUUUCUGCUCCCUCUUGAUUUAAAAUACACGUUGUGGCCACCGGAGGGCAUCACACGAAGCCCUUCCACAAGGCUCCACGCGUUAUCAGGCAGGUCUACAUAAACCACAGGGCUGAACAGACGGGUACAGCUUCCAAACUGGUUACCAUAAUCCUUCAGCGUGUCCAGUGUCGCUCCUCACCCAGUCCUGGAGCCGGGAACAAAGGGACUCACGGGCCUGUGGGCGAAAACAUGCAGGUCACUGUGUUGCUGCCAGUGGACAGAGAACUUCCAGAGGGGCAGCCUGUGAGUGCCCUGAUGACAACAGCCAAACCUCAGGUGCUGUGGGAAUCAGAACCAUGUAUUCUCUUCCCAACCCUACCUCAAUGGUGGGAGGAGACCUGGCAAUAACCCCUGCAAGAGCAGGAGCUCGGACCAGCCCCUGCCUGGAGCAAGAUUUCCCCAGAGACUCCAGGAGUGCCUGCAGGCUCUAACAGUGUGGGGCACCCCACUGCCCUGCCCCGGGACCACACACCACAUGGCUGGGACUGCUACGCUGACCUGCCUUUCUCCUCGACUGCGAUGACUCCUCCCAGGACAGGAAGGUCAGUGAGAAAACAUUAUGCCGACCUGUCUGCCUUCACUUCUGGAUGGCACCGUCUCUCCUGCAGAGUUGGGAAGUCUUAUCACUGGUUAACAUUAAACGUAUCUGUGACUAAAAGCA